UACGAAGGGGGCUAGCGUUGCUCGGAAUUACUGGGCGUAAAGGGCGCGUAGGCGGAUACUUAAGUCGGGGGUGAAAGCCCGGGGCUCAACCUCGGAAUUGCCUUCGAUACUGGGUAUCUUGAGUUCGAGAGAGGUGAGUGGAAUUCCCAGUGUAGAGGUGAAAUUCGUAGAUAUUGGGAAGAACACCGGUGGCGAAGGCGGCUCACUGGCUCAUUACUGACGCUCAGGCGCGACAGCGUGGGGAUCAAACAGG
rnacentral:rRNA from 1 species